rnacentral:rRNA from 1 species
CCUACGGGUGGCUGCAGUCGAGAAUCUUCGGCAAUGGGCGCAAGCCUGACCGAGCGACACCGCGUGCGGGAUGAAGGCCUUCGGGUUGUAAACCGCUGUCGUAGGGGAGGAAGGGUCCGUGAAGAACGGAACUUGACCGAUCCUAGGAGGAAGGGCCGGCUAAUCUCGUGCCAGCAGCCGCGGUAAUACGAGAGGCCCAAACGUUAUUCGGAUUUACUGGGCUUAAAGAGUUCGUAGGCGGCUUGGAAAGUGGGGUGUGAAAGCCCUCGGCUCAACCGAGGAAUUGCGCUCCAAACUACCGAGCUUGAGGAAGCUAGAGGUGAGCAGAACUGAUGGUGGAGCGGUGAAAUGCGUUGAUAUCAUCAGGAAUACCGGAGGCGAAGGCGGCUCACUGGGACUUUUCUGACGCUGAGGAACGAAAGCUAGGGGAGCAAACGGGA